rnacentral:rRNA from 1 species
AUUGAACGCUGGCGGCAUGCCUUACACAUGCAAGUCGAACGGCAGCACGGGUGCUUGCACCUGGUGGCGAGUGGCGAACGGGUGAGUAAUACAUCGGAACAUGUCCUGUAGUGGGGGAUAGCCCGGCGAAAGCCGGAUUAAUACCGCAUACGAUCUACGGAUGAAAGCGGGGGCCCUUCGGGCCUCGCGCUAUAGGGUUGGCCGAUGGCUGAUUAGCUAGUUGGUGGGGUAAAGGCCUACCAAGGCGACGACCAGUAGCCGGUCGGGGAGGACGACCAGCCACACUGGGACUGGGACACGGCCCAGACUCCUACGGGAGGCAGCAGUGGGGAAUUUUGGACAAUGGGCGAAAGCCUGAGCCAGCAAUGCGGCGUGUGUGAAGAAGGCCUUCGGGUUGUAAAGCACUUUUGUCCGGAAAGAAAUCCUUGGCCCUAAUACGGUCGGGGGAUGACGGUACCGGAAGAAUAAGCACCGGCUAACUACGU